GACGAACGCUGGCGGCGUGCUUAACACAUGCAAGUCGAACGGAAAGGCCCUGCUGUUGUGGGGUGCUCGAGUGGCGAACGGGUGAGUAACACGUGAGUAACCUGCCCUUGACUUUGGGAUAACUUCAGGAAACUGGGGCUAAUAACGGAUAGGAGCUCCGGCUGCAUGGUGGGGGGUGGAAAGUUUCGGCGGUUGGGGAUGGACUCGCGGCUUAUCAGCUUGUUGGUGGGGUAGUGGCUUACGAAGGCUUUGACGGGUAGCCGGCCUGAGAGGGUGACCGGCCACAUUGGGACUGCGAUACGGCCCAGACUGCUGCGGGAGGCAGCAGUGGGGAAUAUUGCACAAUGGGCGGAAGCCUGAUGCAGCAACGCCGGGUGCGGGAUGACGGCCUUCGGGUUGUAACCCGCUUUCGCCUGUGACGAAGCGUGAGUGACGGUAAUGGGUAGAGAAGCACCGGCUAACUACGUG
rnacentral:rRNA from 1 species